UCCUAGUUAACCUAGGCAGUCUCGUUAGAGUUCCCGCCAUUACGCGUUGGCAACUAACGACAAGGGUUGCGCUCGUUGCGGGACUUAACCCAACACCUCACGGCACGAGCUGACGACAGCCAUGCAGCACCUGUGCAGAAGCCCCGAAGGGAGAUACCAUCUCUGGUACUGUCCUCUGCAUGUCAAACCUGGGUAAGGUUCUUCGCGUUGCAUCGAAUUAAACCACAUGCUCCACUGCUUGUGCGGGUCCCCGUCAAUUCUUUUGAGUUUCACCCUUGCGAGCGUACUCCCCAGGCGGUAUACUUAACGCGUUGGCUACGGCACAGCCAGGGUUGAGUCCGGCUACACCUAGUAUACAUCGUUUACGGCAAGGACUAC
rnacentral:misc_RNA from 1 species